UACAGAGGGUGCGAGCGUUGUCCGGAAUCACUGGGCGUAAAGGGCGCGUAGGUGGCGUCGCAAGUCGAUGGUGAAAUCCUGGAGCUCAACUCCAGAACUGCCUUCGAUACUGAGAGUCUCGAGUCCGGGAGAGGUGAGUGGAACUGCGAGUGUAGAGGUGAAAUUCGUAGAUAUUCGCAAGAACACCAGUGGCGAAGGCGGCUCACUGGCCCGGUACUGACGCUGAGGUGCGAAAGCGUGGGGAGCAAACAGG
rnacentral:rRNA from 1 species